rnacentral:rRNA from 1 species
AGAGUUUGAUCCUGGCUCAGGACGAACGCUGGCGGCGUGCUUAACACAUGCAAGUCGAACGGAAAGGCCCUUCGGGGUACUCGAGUGGCGAACGGGUGGGUAACACGUGGGUGAUCUGCCCUGCACUUUGGGAUAAGCCUGGGAAACUGGGUCUAAUACCGAAUAUGACCAUGCACUUCCUGGUGUGUGGUGGAAAGCUUUUGCGGUGUGGGAUGGGCCCGCGGCCUAUCAGCUUGUUGGUGGGGUAAUGGCCUACCAAGGCGACGACGGGUAGCCGGCCUGAGAGGGUGACCGGCCACACUGGGACUGAGAUACGGCCCAGACUCCUACGGGAGGCAGCAGUGGGGAAUAUUGCACAAUGGGCGCAAGCCUGAUGCAGCGACGCCGCGUGAGGGAUGACGGCCUUCGGGUUGUAAACCUCUUUCAGCACAGACGAAGCGCAAGUGACGGUAUGUGCAGAAGAAGGACCGGCCAACUACGUGCCAGCAGCCGCGGUAAUACGUAGGGUCCGAGCGUUGUCCGGAAUUACUGGGCGUAAAGAGCUCGUAGGUGGUUUGUCGCGUUGUUCGUGAAAACUCACAGCUUAACUGUGGGCGUGCGGGCGAUACGGGCAGACUUGAGUACUGCAGGGGAGACUGGAAUUCCUGGUGUAGCGGUGGAAUGCGCAGAUAUCAGGAGGAACACCGGUGGCGAAGGCGGGUCUCUGGGCAGUAACUGACGCUGAGGAGCGAAAGCGUGGGGAGCGAACAGGAUUAGAUACCCUGGUAGUCC